AUUUAACGCUGGCGGCAGGCCUAACACAUGCAAGUCGAGCUAGCGGCGGACGGGUGAGUAAUGUAUGGGGACUGCCCGAUAGAGGGGGAUAACUACUGGAAACGGUGGCUAAUACCGCAUACUAUCGGAUAACCCAUAUGUGCUUAGCUAGUAGGUGGGGUAAAGGCUCACCUAGGCGACGAUCUCUACCUGGUCUGAGAGGAUGAUCGGCAACAAUGGGACGGAGACACGGCCCAGAUUCGUACGGAGGAGGCAGUGGGGAAUAUUGCAAAAUGGGAGAAAGCCUGAUGCAGCCAUGAGGCGUGUAUGAAGAAGGCCUUAGGGUUGUAAAGUACUUUCAGCGGGGAGGCGUUACCCGCAGAAGAAGCACCGGCUAACUCCGUGCCAGCAGACGCGGUAAUAC
rnacentral:rRNA from 1 species